rnacentral:rRNA from 1 species
UACGGGGGGAGCAAGCGUUGUUCGGAUUUACUGGGCGUAAAGGGCGCGUAGGCGGUCAGCACAAGUCAGUUGUGAAAUCUCCGGGCUUAACUCGGAAAGGUCAACUGAUACUGUGCGACUAGAGUGCAGAAGGGGCAACUGGAAUUCUCGGUGUAGCGGUGAAAUGCGUAGAUAUCGAGAGGAACACCUGCGGCGAAGGCGGGUUGCUGGGCUGACACUGACGCUGAUGCGCGAAAAGCCAGGGGGAGCGAACGGG